GAGAGCCGUAACACAGGUGCUGCAUGGCUGUCGUCAGCUCGUGUCGUGAGAUGUUGGGUUAAGUCCCGCAACGAGCGCAACCCUUGUCAUUAGUUGCUACGAAAGGGCACUCUAAUGAGACUGCCGGUGACAAACCGGAGGAAGGUGGGGAUGACGUCAAGUCCUCAUGGCCCUUAUAGGUGGGGCUACACACGUCAUACAAUGGCUGGUACAAAGGGUUGCCAACCCGCGAGGGGGAGCCAAUCCCAUAAAGCCAGUCGUAGUCCGGAUCGCAGUCUGCAACUCGACUGCGUGAAGUCGGAAUCGCUAGUAAUCGUGGAUCAGCAUGUCACGGUGAAUACGUUCCCGGGUCUU
rnacentral:rRNA from 1 species